AGGGAUAUAGCGAAAAAGAUCCAUUAAUGAGAUUAAAGAGUGUACAUGAGUGAGGAGGGAAUUGAUUGCUCGUAGAUGAAAGAUUCAUGAAACGUAGGAAACGAAUAAGAGGAAGAGAAAGGGUUUGACAAUCGAUUUUGCAAAAUUAGGGUUUGUUCUUUGCGGAAAGGGGAAAGGAGACUUAACUGUGAGAUAGACUUCACGGGCUUCUCGAAUUUGAACGAUGUCGGGCCGGUGAAAUUUGAAGCCCAAAUGACAUAAGCGAGACCUCUGACAUGGUGAAAAUCUGUCCUCCUAUUGGUCGAUUUU
rnacentral:lncRNA from 1 species